rnacentral:tRNA from 2 species
GGUGAGGUGGAUGAGUGGCUGAAAUCAGCAGUUUGCUAAACUGCCGUACUGGUAAAACGGUACCGAGGGUUCGAAUCCCUCCCUCACCG